CGAAAGCCUGACGGAGCAAUACCGCGUGAGGGAGGAAGGCUUUUGGGUUGUAAACCUCUUUUGUCAGGGAAGAAAAUUUGACGGUACCUGAAGAAAAAGCAUUGGCUAACUCCGUGCCAGCAGCCGCGGUAAUACGGAGGAUGCAAGCGUUAUCCGGAAUAAUUGGGCGUAAAGGGUCCGCAGGUGGCCAUUCAAGUCUGCUGUCAAAGACCGUGGCUCAACCACGGAAAGGCAGAGGAAACUGUUUAGCUAGAGUACGGUAGGGGUAGAGGGAAUUCCCAGUGUAGCGGUGAAAUGCGUAGAUAUUGGGAAGAACACCGGUGGCGAAAGCGCUCUACUGGGCCGAAACUGACACUGAGGGACGAAAGCUAGGGUAGCGAAAGGGAUUAGAUACCUCUGUAGUCUUAGCUGUAAACGAUGGAUACUAGGUGUAGCUUGUAUCGACCCGAGCUGUGCCGAAGCUAACGCGUUAAGUAUCCCGCCUGGGGAGUACGCACGCAAGUGUGAAACUCAAAGGAAUUGACGGGGGCCCGCACAAGCGGUGGAGUAUGUGGUUUAAUUCGAUGCAACGCGAAGAACCUUACCAGGGCUUGACAUGUGGCGAAUCUCUGUGAAAGCAGGGAGUGCCUUAGGGAGCGCCAACACAGGUGGUGCAUGGCUGUCGUCAGCUCGUGUCGUGAGAUGUUGGGUUAAGUCCCGCAACGAGCGCAACCCUCGUUUUUAGUUGCCAUUUUAAUGGCUCUCUAGAGAGACUGCCGGGGACAACUCGGAGGAAGGUGGGGAUGACGUCAAGUCAGCAUGCCCCUUACGCCCUGGGCUACACACGUACUACAAUGGUUGGGACAAAGGGCAGCAAACCCGCGAGGGCAAGCGAAUCUCAUCAAACCCAGCCUCAGUUCAGAUUGCAGGCUGCAACUCGCCUGCAUGAAGGAGGAAUCGCUAGUAAUCGCAGGUCAGCAUACUGCGGUGAAUUCGUUCCCGGGCCUUGUACACACCGCCCGUCACACCAUGGAAGCUGGCUACGCCCGAAGUCGUUACCCUAACCCUUAGGGGAGGGGGAUGCCGAAGGUAGAGCUAGUGACUGGGGUGAAGUCGUAACAAGGUAGCCGUACCGGAAGGUGUGGCUGGAUCACCUCCUUUA
rnacentral:rRNA from 1 species